UACAGAGGUCCCAAGCGUUGUUCGGAUUCACUGGGCGUAAAGGGUGCGUAGGCGGUCGGGUAAGUCUGAUGUGAAAUCUCACAGCUUAACUGUGAAACUGCAUUGGAUACUAUCCGGCUCGAGGAAUGGAGGGGAGACUGGAAUACUUGGUGUAGCAGUGAAAUGCGUAGAUAUCAAGUGGAACACCAGUGGCGAAGGCGAGUCUCUGGACAGUUCCUGACGCCGAGGCACGAAAGCCAGGGGAGCAAGCGGG
rnacentral:rRNA from 1 species